UUUUGGAACUUUUUUUCUCUGUACAUAUGUGAGUGGUUAACAUUAGAUGUGAGAGUUUGUGACUAAUCUUUUCAUUAUGAUUCAUCAUCUCAGGGGAAAAAUCCUGUUGUGAAAUGAGGAAGGAGAGGUAGAGUGGGUAUCAUUCCACAGAAGAAAGGAAGUCGGCUAAAAUCUGCUGAUUUCAAGGUUUUAAUUUGACUGGAAGAGCUGUCUGUAUCAUGAGUCAUACACAGCACAAGCCACCCCACAGAACUAGACUUGAGGCUUGUGUACCAGCACGCUGUUGUAUCAGACAUUUCAUGGAAUGUAUCAGGCCAGACAACUCAUUACACUGAAGUUUGGGUGGAUUUACCAGUGUUUUUCUACAUAGAUCCGGAGUUCCAGGACAACCCUUUCCUUGCAGACUGUGACAAUGUGGUUCUGUCCUACACAUUUUUCCAGGCCAAACCAGGACUCCACCUACCCUUACCUGGCUUUCAUUCUGCCAAGUCUUGACCACUGGUCAGGCAAGGCGUUUUCACUGCUCUAAGGUGAACUGGGCCUCUCCACUUGGCCAGGUAGACUCUCUAGUGUGUUCUGUGCAGCUGUGUACCUGAUAAAUAAGACUUUAUAGUGUUUAGUUGGACUCAAGAGAAUAAUUUACAGGUAUAAUUUUGCUUUUGAAAACUGUGAUUCUGGAUAAUAUAUCUGCAAAAAUGCUUCAUGGACUUCAAUAAAUUUGUACAUAUUUUGACCCUAUCUGGUAUUGAUGUAAGUACAGACACCUGUCUAUUGCAACCUCUGAGUAUUCCGAGGUCCUGUAACACUAAAUAAAACAAGUGUGACGUGAUACCUCAAUCUGUUUUGUCCUACAGGUUGUUAGCUAAGACAGGUUUCACUGUAUUAAAAGCAAUGUGUAAACUUUCUGUGAUUUUGUAAAAAUAAUAAAUUAUAGAAAUUAUA